ACGGGUGAGUAAUGCUUGGGAAUCUGGCUUAUGGAGGGGGAUAACGACGGGAAACUGUCUCUAAUACCGCGUAGAGUCGAGAGACGAACCUGCGGGACCUUCGGACCGCAUGCCAUGAUAUGAUCCCCAGUGGGAUUAGGUACUUGGUGGGGUAAAGGCCUACCGGCCGACGAUCUCUAGCUGGUCUGAGAGGAUGACCACCCACACCGGGACUGAGACACGGCCCGGACUCCUACGGGAGGCACUCCUGGGGAAUAUUGCGCAAUGGGGGCAACCCUGACGCACCCAUGCCUCGUGAAUGAACAACGCCUUCGGGUUGAAAGGUUCUUUCUGUGACAACGAAGGUUGUUGUGUUAAUAGCGCAACAAAUUGACGUUCAUCACAGAAGAAGCACCGGGUAACUCCGUGCCCGCAUCCGCGCUAGUACGGAGGGUGCGAGCGUUAAUCGUAAUAACUGGUCGUAAAGGGCACUCAGGCGGCUAUUUAAGUGAGGUGUGAAAUCCCCGGUCUUAACCUGGGAAUUGCAUUUCCCACUGGUUAGCUAGAGUACUUUAGGGAUGGGUACAAUUCAACAUGUAGCAGUGAAAUGCGUAGAGAUGUGGAGGAAUACCGAAGGCAAAAGCAGCCCCUUGGGAAUGUACUGACGCUCAUGUGCUGAGCGUGAGGAGCAAACACGAUUAGAUACCCUGGUAUUCCA
rnacentral:rRNA from 1 species